ACUUAAGCAUAUCAAUAAGCGGAGGAAAAGAAACCAACAGGGAUUCCCCUAGUAACGGCGAGUGAAGCGGGAACAGCUCAAAUUUGAAAUCUGGCCCUUGGGUCCGAGUUGUAAUUUGCAGAGGAUGCUUUUGGUGCGGUGCCUUUCCGAGUUCCCUGGAACGGGACGCCUUAGAGGGUGAGAGCCCCGUACGGUUGGCCACCAAGCCUGUGUAAAGCUCCUUCGACGAGUCGAGUAGUUUGGGAAUGCUGCUCAAAAUGGGAGGUAUAUUUCUUCUAAAGCUAAAUACUGGCCAGAGACCGAUAGCGCACAAGUAGAGUGAUCGAAAGAUGAAAAGCACUUUGAAAAGAGGGUUAAAUAGCACGUGAAAUUGUUGAAAGGGAAGGAUUUAUGACCAGACUUUUUCUAGGGGGAUCAUCCGGUGUUCUCACCGGUGCACUUCCCCUAGUUGAGGCCAGCAUCGGUUUCUGUCGGGGGAUAAAAGCUUCAGGAAUGUGGCUCCCUCCGGGGAGUGUUAUAGCCUGUUGCAUAAUACCCUGACGGGGACCGAGGUUCGCGCAUUGCAAGGAUGCUGGCGUAAUGGUUAUCAAUCACCCGUCUUGAAACACGGACCAAGGAGUCGAACAUUUGUGCGAGUGUUUGGGUGUUAAACCCUCACGCGUAAUGAAAGUGAACGGAGGUGAGAGCCCUUCGGGGUGCAUCAUCGACCGAUCCUGAUGUCUUCGGAUGGAUUUGAGUAAGAGCAUAACUGUUCGGACCCGAAAGAUGGUGAACUAUGCGUGGAUAGGGUGAAGCCAGAGGAAACUCUGGUGGAGGCUCGCAGCGGUUCUGACGUGCAAAUCGAUCGUCAAAUCUGCGCAUGGGGGCGAAAGACUAAUCGAA
rnacentral:rRNA from 2 species